GGGUUGUGAGGUUAAGCGACUAAGCGUACACGGUGGAUGCCCUGGCAGUCAGAGGCGAUGAAGGACGUGCUAAUCUGCGAUAAGCGUCGGUAAGGUGAUAUGAACCGUUAUAACCGGCGAUUUCCGAAUGGGGAAACCCAGUGUGAUUCGUCACACUAUCAUUAACUGAAUCCAUAGGUUAAUGAGGCGAACCGGGGGAACUGAAACAUCUAAGUACCCCGAGGAAAAGAAAUCAACCGAGAUUCCCCCAGUAGCGGCGAGCGAACGGGGAGCAGCCCAGAGCCUGAAUCAGUGUGUGUGUUAGUGGAAGCGUCUGGAAAGGCGCGCGAUACAGGGUGACAGCCCCGUACACAAAAAUGCACAUACUGUGAGCUCGAUGAGUAGGGCGGGACACGUGGUAUCCUGUCUGAAUAUGGGGGGACCAUCCUCCAAGGCUAAAUACUCCUGACUGACCGAUAGUGAACCAGUACCGUGAGGGAAAGGCGAAAAGAACCCCGGCGAGGGGAGUGAAAAAGAACCUGAAACCGUGUACGUACAAGCAGUGGGAGCACAGAGCAAUCUGUGUGACUGCGUACCUUUUGUAUAAUGGGUCAGCGACUUAUAUUCUGUAGCAAGGUUAACCGAAUAGGGGAGCCGAAGGGAAACCGAGUCUUAACUGGGCGUUAAGUUGCAGGGUAUAGACCCGAAACCCGGUGAUCUAGCCAUGGGCAGGUUGAAGGUUGGGUAACACUAACUGGAGGACCGAACCGACUAAUGUUGAAAAAUUAGCGGAUGACUUGUGGCUGGGGGUGAAAGGCCAAUCAAACCGGGAGAUAGCUGGUUCUCCCCGAAAGCUAUUUAGGUAGCGCCUCGUGAAUUCAUCUCCGGGGGUAGAGCACUGUUUCGGCAAGGGGGUCAUCCCGACUUACCAACCCGAUGCAAACUGCGAAUACCGGAGAAUGUUAUCACGGGAGACACACGGCGGGUGCUAACGUCCGUCGUGAAGAGGGAAACAACCCAGACCGCCAGCUAAGGUCCCAAAGUCAUGGUUAAGUGGGAAACGAUGUGGGAAGGCCCAGACAGCCAGGAUGUUGGCUUAGAAGCAGCCAUCAUUUAAAGAAAGCGUAAUAGCUCACUGGUCGAGUCGGCCUGCGCGGAAGAUGUAACGGGGCUAAACCAUGCACCGAAGCUGCGGCAGCGACGCUGAUGCGUUGUUGGGUAGGGGAGCGUUCUGUAAGCCUGUGAAGGUGUGCUGUGAGGCAUGCUGGAGGUAUCAGAAGUGCGAAUGCUGACAUAAGUAACGAUAAAGCGGGUGAAAAGCCCGCUCGCCGGAAGACCAAGGGUUCCUGUCCAACGUUAAUCGGGGCAGGGUGAGUCGACCCCUAAGGCGAGGCCGAAAGGCGUAGUCGAUGGGAAACAGGUUAAUAUUCCUGUACUUGGUGUUACUGCGAAGGGGGGACGGAGAAGGCUAUGUUGGCCGGGCGACGGUUGUCCCGGUUUAAGCGUGUAGGCUGGUUUUCCAGGCAAAUCCGGAAAAUCAAGGCUGAGGCGUGAUGACGAGGCACUACGGUGCUGAAGCAACAAAUGCCCUGCUUCCAGGAAAAGCCUCUAAGCAUCAGGUAACAUCAAAUCGUACCCCAAACCGACACAGGUGGUCAGGUAGAGAAUACCAAGGCGCUUGAGAGAACUCGGGUGAAGGAACUAGGCAAAAUGGUGCCGUAACUUCGGGAGAAGGCACGCUGAUAUGUAGGUGAAGUCCCUCGCGGAUGGAGCUGAAAUCAGUCGAAGAUACCAGCUGGCUGCAACUGUUUAUUAAAAACACAGCACUGUGCAAACACGAAAGUGGACGUAUACGGUGUGACGCCUGCCCGGUGCCGGAAGGUUAAUUGAUGGGGUUAGCGCAAGCGAAGCUCUUGAUCGAAGCCCCGGUAAACGGCGGCCGUAACUAUAACGGUCCUAAGGUAGCGAAAUUCCUUGUCGGGUAAGUUCCGACCUGCACGAAUGGCGUAAUGAUGGCCAGGCUGUCUCCACCCGAGACUCAGUGAAAUUGAACUCGCUGUGAAGAUGCAGUGUACCCGCGGCAAGACGGAAAGACCCCGUGAACCUUUACUAUAGCUUGACACUGAACAUUGAGCCUUGAUGUGUAGGAUAGGUGGGAGGCUUUGAAGUGUGGACGCCAGUCUGCAUGGAGCCGACCUUGAAAUACCACCCUUUAAUGUUUGAUGUUCUAACGUUGACCCGUGAUCCGGGUUGCGGACAGUGUCUGGUGGGUAGUUUGACUGGGGCGGUCUCCUCCUAAAGAGUAACGGAGGAGCACGAAGGUUGGCUAAUCCUGGUCGGACAUCAGGAGGUUAGUGCAAUGGCAUAAGCCAGCUUGACUGCGAGCGUGACGGCGCGAGCAGGUGCGAAAGCAGGUCAUAGUGAUCCGGUGGUUCUGAAUGGAAGGGCCAUCGCUCAACGGAUAAAAGGUACUCCGGGGAUAACAGGCUGAUACCGCCCAAGAGUUCAUAUCGACGGCGGUGUUUGGCACCUCGAUGUCGGCUCAUCACAUCCUGGGGCUGAAGUAGGUCCCAAGGGUAUGGCUGUUCGCCAUUUAAAGUGGUACGCGAGCUGGGUUUAGAACGUCGUGAGACAGUUCGGUCCCUAUCUGCCGUGGGCGCUGGAGAACUGAGGGGGGCUGCUCCUAGUACGAGAGGACCGGAGUGGACGCAUCACUGGUGUUCGGGUUGUCAUGCCAAUGGCACUGCCCGGUAGCUAAAUGCGGAAGAGAUAAGUGCUGAAAGCAUCUAAGCACGAAACUUGCCCCGCGAUGAGUUCUCCCUGACUCCUUGAGAGCCCGGAAGGAACGUUGAAGACGACGACGUUGAUAGGCCGGAUGUGUAAGCGCAGCGAUGCGUU
rnacentral:rRNA from 1 species